rnacentral:rRNA from 1 species
GAACCUGCGGAAGGAUCAUUACUGAGAGAGGGGCUUCGCGCUCCCGGGGGCUUCGGCCCUCAACUCUUCACCCAUCGCCUACCUACCUUUGUUGCUUUGGCGGGCCUUGAGGAUCGCCCCGCGUCGGCCUUCGGGCCGGUGAGCGCCCGUCAGAGACCCAUUAAUUCUGCUUGAUAGAUGACGUCCGAGUAAAAACACAAUAGUAAAAACUUUCAACAACGGAUCUCUUGGUUCCAGCAUCGAUGAAGAACGCAGCGAAAUGCGAUAAGUAAUGUGAAUUGCAGAAUUCAGUGAAUCAUCGAAUCUUUGAACGCACAUUGCGCCCCUCGGUAUUCCGGGGGGCAUGCCUGUUCGAGCGUCAUUGCCCCCCUCAAGCGUAGCUUGGUAUUGGGUCCUCGCCCCCGCGGCGUGCCCGAAAAGCAGUGGCGGUCCGGUGUGACUUUAAGCGUAGUAAAUUUCAUCCCGCUUUGAAAGUCCGCCCCGUGGCCGGCCAGACAACCCUAUUACUUUCAAUGAUUGACCUCGGAUCAGACAGGGAUACCCGCUGAACUUAAGCAUAUCAAUAAGCGGUGGAAAAGAAACCAA